rnacentral:rRNA from 1 species
GGCUAACGCUGGCGGCGUGUCUUAGCCAUGCAAGUCGAGCGGACUUAUGGGGUAACUUAUAAGUCAGCGGCGGACGGCGGAGUAACACGUAGCUAACCUACCCUCUGGACGGGGAUAACCUACCGAAAGGUGGGCUAAUACCCGAUGUAGUCAUCCUGUAUAGGGGUGAUGAAAGUGGGCUUCUGUUUACAAGCUCAUGCUGGAGGAGGGGGCUGCGGCCUAUCAGGUAGUUGGUAGGGUAAUAGCCUACCAAGCCGAUGACGGGUAGCCGGCCUGAGAGGGUGACCGGCCCGAGGGGCACUGAGAUACGGGUCCCACUCCUACGGGAGGCAGCAGGCUAGAAAUUUGGGCAAUGGGGGAAACCCUGACCCAGUGACGCCGCGUGCAGGAAGGAGCCCUUCGGGGUGUAAACUGCUGUCGUGUAGGGAGAAGGGUACUAAGGUGAACAAUCUUAGUACUUGACGGUACUACAGGAGGAAGCCCAGGCUAACCUCGUG